rnacentral:rRNA from 1 species
GACGAACGCUGGCGGCGUGCCUAAUACAUGCAAGUCGAGCGAAGCGACGGAUGGGUGAGUAACGCGUGAGUAACCUGCCCUUAAGUCUGGGAUACCAUUUGGAAACAGAUGCUACUACCGGAUACUAAAGGACGGACCUGCGAUGCAUUAGCUAGUUGGUAAGGUACCGGCUUACCAAGGCGAUGAUGCAGAGCCGAGUUGAGAGGCUGAUCGGCCACAUUGGGACUGAGACACGGCCCAAACUCCGACGGGAGGCAGCAGUAGGGAAUCGUCCACAAUGGACGAAAGUCUGAUGGAGCAACGCCGCGUGAGUGAAGAAGGUUUUCGGAUCGUAAAGCUCUGUUGUUGGUGAAGCGGUAAUCAACCAGAAAGUCACGGCUAACUACGUGCCAGCAGCCGCGGUAAUAC